UGAACAGAAACGGCAAGUGGAGAAUGAGUUGUUGUCAGGAUGGGAGAGACAGAAAGGGAGAUGAAGUUUUAGAAUGCAGGACAUAAUGGCACCAAAGUGCGGGGCCGGUUUGGUGUACCCGGUUUUACAGACACAGUGGAGAUAAAAUAUUCUGGCAAAAGGGAACUUUCAUUGAACUGACAAAGCAGCAAAAUCACCUUCUUACAUUACUGGAUACCUUUGGAUACUGUCUUUUGUCAGUCUGAGAUUUCCUCUCCUCUUGUCUUCCCAAAAGUUGCGUCUAAUGGUAUCAAGAGAUAUGGAACCAAGGCUCAUACAUGGAGUUAAAGUCAGAUCAGUCAAGGACUAACUGAAUGGUGGAGAAGGAUCGUACGACAGGAAUGGCCAACUCCUGUUCCUACUUUGACUCGAUAUUGGUUUACAUUCCUAAUUUCCUUCACAGAAUCAUUAGCAUCCCCCUUUAAGUUCGUGCAAACCUACUUCUCCUCCGGCGUUAAGAUGCUCUUUAUGUUUUUAAUCAUGUUUUUAGUUACCUGCCUUAAUAUCUCCUUAGGUAUUUCGGUGUUUUAUUUUGUUUUAUAAUAUUCUUGAGAAGUAUAUUGUGGCAUUUAUGCUAUGUUACAGGCCAUGCUUAUAUAAAUAUAGGUUGUUACGGUUCUGUCCAUACAUUUCGCUCUGAUGGUUAAACAGUAUCUUUGUCCCUCGCUUUCUAACAAUGCCAUUCAGUAACCAAAUAUUAGAGGUUUACUGCAAAAACCUCAUGUUUGGAUUUUCUCUGCUUCAAUGUCAAGAGAUGGUGAUGCGUGAAGUGAUAGAUGUAAACUCAAAACUUCUUUCUGCGGAUUGUCUAGUCUAGAGACUGUAACAUCAACGCUAAAACUGAAUUCUACAAAAGCAAAGUACCCCACUCGCCAACCCGAGUGUCUAACAAUAUCAUCCAUAUCUCCUCCGAGUUAGUAAGGAUUAUUUUAAACAAUGAAACGCUCACAAUGAUAUGUAAUGGCCCCCAGUUCUCAUUCGAAGUAUUUAAUAUUCGAAGCCCCUAAACUAAGAGAUAUGUUUAAAAGGUGAGAUCCUAGCUCCAGUUAAUCUACAAUUACCGGGUAAAUAAAAUUACAUCGCUAAAUAUAGAUUGAAAUGUUUCAGAAAUUCCCAAACAACUUUCAAAAUGAUGCUGAUCGGUUGCGUAAACAUGGCCGAGUGGCUAAGGCGAUAGGUUAGUAAUUCGGUGGGGAUUUUCCACACAGGUUCGAAUCCUGUUGUCUGCGUUUGGGGUGGCCCGGUGGUCAGCUCUACUACCUCAGUGCCAGGGUCCCAGGUUCUAAUCUUUAAAGAAAGACAAGUUUUUUUUAACGCAGCAUUUCAUACUUUAUGCAAGGUUUCAGAUCACAAAAAAGCAAAGUUGCUCCACUUGUGUUGGAAACACGGACGAUGUAACUGGAGGAAUUUUUGUAACUUUCGCCUCUGUUAAACGCUGACUCUCCUCAUUCACUUUGAGUUUCCUUUGUUUUGUAUUUAAUGCUCGGUCAAGUCGUUUAGGAACUCAAAUAUCUGAAAUGCAGAGAAG